UGGCAUUCCUGCUACCUCCUGCUACCAGCCAUGAUUCACAUCGACAGCCAGCCUAUUCCAAGGAAGGAGAGGAAAGGUGCUUCAGGUCCGGUUCUCGCUCCGCCACGCGGGCCUGCCCGGCAGAUUGGGCGGGCAGCAAAAAAAUACCACUACCGAGGGAUCAAGUGCGUAUGCGUCUACGGCGGUGGCAGUCGGCGAGAGCAGAGUCUUCGACAUUGUCAUAUCCUGUAUAUGUGGCUACCUUCAACAUCGGCAUGUUUAAAGCACGUUGACGCUUCUGAGUCGUGGCAACUAGGGCCAUUGGAGACUUCCCACCAAAAAAAAUAAGCUGAAUGCACUUGGAAAGCACAUGUCCAGAGGUGGAGGGAAAAGUUGCUCGUUGCCAUCACCCAAACUGCCACCGCCUCCUCCCCGCCGGAAACCACCACCUCGAAGACCAUGGCAACAUCCUCCCUCGGAACAGGCUGGCUGCCGAUGGGAAUCAUGGCUGGCAGCAGCAAUGCCAGAGUCAAAAAUUUUUAAUUAUCGUAAAAAUUUUUAAUUAUCGGUGCGAGAGAGGCCCAGCGCUUCUUUGCAUCUUCGUCGCUCUUGGCAAGCAGCUUGUCCCAGUUGAGCAAAGGCGGCGGUUCUUCGCUUUUGCUGGAGCAUGCUGGUUCUUCCGGCGGAUGGACGAUCGCGUCGAUGAGCUCGCGGGCCUUGCGACACGCCUCUUCGGGGUCCGAGAGCUUGAUCUUGGUCUCGAAGUAAUUAUCUGCGUCGUCUUUCUUGACCCAGAUGUACGCACCACUGGAAUCCUGAAGCUCGUGGAUCCUGGAACCUCCUUUGCCAAUGAUCCUGGCGACAUCUUUGACUGGCACCACGAUCACUUCAGCAUCUGGGCGCGAUGCAUUGGGU